CAGUCGCCGCGGUAAUACGAAGGGUGCAAGCGUUAAUCGGAAUUACUGGGCGUAAAGCGUGCGUAGGCGGUGAGUUAAGUCUGCUGUGAAAUCCCCGGGCUCAACCUGGGAAUGGCAGUGGAUACUGGCUCGCUAGAGUGUGUCAGAGGAUGGUGGAAUUCCCGGUGUAGCGGUGAAAUGCGUAGAGAUCGGGAGGAACAUCAGUGGCGAAGGCGACUAUCUGGGCCAACACUGACACUGAGGCACGAAAGCGUGGGGAGCAAACAGGAUUAGAUACCCGUGUAGUCCCUGUCUCUUAUAC
rnacentral:rRNA from 1 species